rnacentral:rRNA from 1 species
UACGUAGGGCGCAAGCGUUGUCCGGAUUUAUUGGGCGUAAAGAGCGUGUAGGCGGCCAUACAGGUCAGCUGUGAAAACUCGAGGCUCAACCUCGAGACGUCGGUUGAAACCGUAUGGCUAGAGUCCGGAAGAGGAGAGUGGAAUUCCCGGUGUAGCGGUGAAAUGCGCAGAUAUCGGGAAGAACACCCAUGGCGAAGGCAGCUCUCUGGGACGGUACUGACGCUGAGACGCGAAAGCGUGGGAGCGAACAGG